CAGCACCUGUUCCCUCACCCACAGGUUCUGUCAGUUGGUCUGGGUGGGAACAUCAGUGUGGUUUUAACUAAGUGCUCCAGGUGAUUCUAAGGUGAGGCCAGGGUUAAGUAUGAGGGCUCCUGAGUGUAUUUAUGAGAGUUGAGUUCCACCUUCACUCAGGGUUUGGGUAACAGGGUUUGCUCUGCAUGUGUCUAGUAGGACAGGCAGAUCACCACACAAUGUCCAUUCUGUAGCUGAAUUUUUGGGCAUCUGUGGGAGAAGAGAGCCCUUGAAGACAGGGAAGGAGAAGCUUCAAGUUUGGUCUCUGUGUAGGAGCUCAUUGCUCCUGAGUCUCUCCUGCAGCAAAGGACAGGGAUGGGUUGGCUUUUUUGUAGUUCAUGUCUCUUCUGCCUGCAGAAGUGGUGAUAGUAGGUGAAGGUCAGUGCCUGAGCCUUCAAAGGUGUUUCUCAAGAUGCAUGUGUGACUCCUCCAGAUAAUCUCACCCGAGGAAGAAACUGAAUGAAAGAAGAGGAAGCUACGGCAGGCAGAUUCUCAGGAAAUUGAACUAUAUCUUAAAUAUUAGGAUGACAAGCAAAAUCAUGGAAAUUCAGAAGAAGCAGUGGAGUAUGUGACAGUCCAUAGUACCUAACUAAGAGAGAGACAGAGCAUGAACGGGGGAAGAGCAGAGAGAGAGGGAGACACAGAAUCGGAAGCAGGC